rnacentral:rRNA from 1 species
UUCAUAAGCGGAGGAAAAGAAACCAACAGGGAUUGCCCUAGUAACGGCGAGUGAAGCGGCAACAGCUCAAAUUUGAAAUCUGGCUCUUUUAGAGUCCGAGUUGUAAUUUGCAGAGGGCGCUUUGGCUUUGGCAGCGGUCCAAGUUCCUUGGAACAGGACGUCACAGAGGGUGAGAAUCCCGUACGUGGUCGCUGGCUAUUGCCGUGUAAAGCCCCUUCGACGAGUCGAGUUGUUUGGGAAUGCAGCUCUAAAUGGGAGGUACAUUUCUUCUAAAGCUAAAUAUUGGCCAGAGACCGAUAGCGCACAAGUAGAGUGAUCGAAAGAUGAAAAGCACUUUGGAAAGAGAGUCAAACAGCACGUGAAAUUGUUGAAAGGGAAGCGCUUGCAGCCAGACUUGCUUACAGUUGCUCAUCCGGGUUUCUACCCGGUGCACUCUUCUGUAGGCAGGCCAGCAUCAGUUUGGGCGGUAGGAUAAAGGUCUCUGUCACGUACCUCCUUUCGGGGAGGCCUUAUAGGGGAGACGACAUACUACCAGCCUGGACUGAGGUCCGCGCAUCUGCUAGGAUGCUGGCGUAAUGGCUGUAAGCGGCCCGUCUUGAAACACGGACCAAGGAGUCUAACAUCUAUGCGAGUGUUUGGGUGUCAAGCCCGAGCGCGUAAUGAAAGUGAACGGAGGUGGGAACCCGCAAGGGUGCACCAUCGACCGAUCCUGAUGUCUUCGGAAGGAUUUGAGUAAGAGCAUGGCUGUUGGGACCCGAAAGAUGGUGAACUAUGCUUGAAUAGGGUGAAGCCAGAGGAAACUCUGGUGGAGGCUCGCAGCGGUUCUGACGUGCAAAUCGAUCGUCAAAUUUGGGCAUAGGGGCGAAAGACUAAUCGAACUAUCUAGUAGCUGGUCUGCAGAAAAUCCCCCC